rnacentral:rRNA from 1 species
CCUACGGGGGGCUGCAGUGGGGAAUAUUGGACAAUGGGGGGAACCCUGAUCCAGCCAUGCCGCGUGUGUGAAGAAGGCCCUCGGGUUGUAAAGCACUUUCAGUGAGGAAGAACGCCUGGUGGUUAAUACCCAUCAGGAAAGACAUCACUCACAGAAGAAGCACCGGCUAACUCCGUGCCAGCAGCCGCGGUAAUACGGAGGGUGCGAGCGUUAAUCGGAAUUACUGGGCGUAAAGCGCGCGUAGGUGGCUUGAUAAGCCGGUUGUGAAAGCCCCGGGCUCAACCUGGGAACGGCAUCCGGAACUGUCAAGCUAGAGUGCAGGAGAGGAAGGUAGAAUUCCCGGUGUAGCGGUGAAAUGCGUAGAGAUCGGGAGGAAUACCAGUGGCGAAGGCGGCCUUCUGGACUGACACUGACACUGAGGUGCGAAAGCGUGGGUAGCAAACAGGAUUAUAUACCCGGGUAGUC